CCUACGGGGGACAGCAGUGAGGAAUAUUGGUCAAUGGUCGGGAGACUGAACCAGCCAAGCCGCGUGAGGGAUGAAGGUACAGAGUAUCGUAAACCUCUUUUGUCAGGGAACAAAGGCGGGGACGUGUCCCCGGAUGAGUGUACCUGAAGAAAAAGCAUCGGCUAACUCCGUGCCAGCAGCCGCGGUAAUACGGAGGAUGCGAGCGUUAUCCGGAUUUAUUGGGUUUAAAGGGUGCGCAGGCGGUCUGUUAAGUCAGCGGUAAAAGCCCGGGGCACAACCCCGGCCCGCCGUUGAAACUGGCAGUCUCGAGUUGGAGAGAAGUAUGCGGAAUGCGCGGUGUAGCGGUGAAAUGCAUAGAUAUCGCGCAGAACUCCGAUUGCGAAGGCAGCAUGCCGGCUCCACACUGACGCUGAGGCACGAAAGCGUGGGUAUCGAACAGGAUUAGAUACCCUAGUAGUC
rnacentral:rRNA from 1 species